GGGAAUCUACCGAGCCCUGCGGAAUAGCUCCGGGAAACUGGAAUUAAUACCGCAUACGCCCUACGGGGGAAAGAUUUAUCGGGGUUUGAUGAGCCCGCGUUGGAUUAGCUAGUUGGUGGGGUAAAGGCCUACCAAGGCGACGAUCCAUAGCUGGUCUGAGAGGAUGAUCAGCCACAUUGGGACUGAGACACGGCCCAAACUCCUACGGGAGGCAGCAGUGGGGAAUAUUGGACAAUGGGCGCAAGCCUGAUCCAGCCAUGCCGCAUGAGUGAUGAAGGCCCUAGGGUUGUAAAGCUCUUUCAACGGUGAAGAUAAUGACGGUAACCGUAGAAGAAGCCCCGGCUAACUUCGUGCCAGCAGCCGCGGUAAUACGAAGGGGGCUAGCGUUGUUCGGAAUUACUGGGCGUAAAGCGCACGUACGCGGAUAUUUAAGUCAGGGGUGAAAUCCCGGGGCUCAACCUCGGAACUGCCUUUGAUACUGGGUAUCUUGAGUAUGGAAGAGGUAAGUGGAAUUGCGAGU
rnacentral:rRNA from 1 species